CUGAAAACUGGAACAGGGAUGUCGACAGUCAGAGGAGGAGAAGGGCAGAAGUGUGCACUAGAACACCAGAUGUUUGAGGCUGAAAAUGAUAUGGAUGCAGAAUAAAUAGCCCCAAAAUAACCUUCUAUCUGUGGUGUCCCGUCCCCCUCCUUGGCCAGGCAUCAAAGCUACAUGUUGUUCAUUUAAAACAUGAACAUCCUGAUCCCAGGACUUUGAAGAUAGGAAUCACCCAUCCCAAACCAGACACACUGCCCACAGUAGCUGAGAAAGAAGCCAAAGGUGGUGAAUGAUUAGCAGAACUGCAAGACAGCUCCAGAAUCUAAACACAGAGUACUGGGAAAGCUGUUUUGUGGGGGAAACUCAGACUGACCAAAAGAGCCGAGGAGGUCCUUUGUGGCCUGUCUGCUCCAUGGGAAUAGCUCCAGGAGAGGGAAGACCAGCUGCCUUCAUCAGGAACUCACAGGUGGCAUUUCUAUGGGGAAUCAGCACAAGGGAAAAGGAGACAUUUCAUUUCCAAGUUAUGGUGGCAUCGCAAUUACACCAUUAUUGCAUGGACUGAAGUGCAAGUGGAGGACAAGGGGUUGGGAGAGGAAGUGGCUUUGGCAAAUUGUCCUUAAGCUGGUAAGAAGCAGAUCUCCAAGACUUUCUACUGGGAUAUGGAGUUUUGGGGCAAAAAGGAGAGUGGAGAUCAACACUAAUAUUUAUUUAUUCAUUUUUAAAUAAUACACUUUCAGAUAGAA
ensembl:lncRNA LINC00272 long intergenic non-protein coding RNA 272